CCAACACUUAAAAAAAGAAGAGGGGUGGUGGUGAGAAUUGAGAAAUCAAACAAGAGGCAGCAGAAAAAUGGUAGCCAAGAAGAUGACAAAGAAGACAGAGCAGCAGCUGGUGGGUGAGGAAGUGAUCAGAGGCAAGCCCAAGGGAGAGGCUAAUUGGUUCAAACCAAAGAAGGGUAGUGUUUUUCCUGCAAGGGGAAAGUUGGUGAAGACUAUGGCUUUUGAUACCAUAGUGAAAUGGGUGGGCUCUGUUUUCUGCCAUGGAGCCUCAGCCACCACCACCAUGACCAAAAGCCCCUGCCUUUCACAACCCAGAAUGCUAAAUUCCAAGAAAUGCAAGCAGAUAGUUCCAUUGUGAAUUGGAAAGUCGAAUCAAAUCCAUGCCUUGAAAGAAGUCACCUUUUCUGUUCUGUUAAUUUAUCACCCCACACCCACAUACUCACUUUCUUCUUCUAUUUUGUUUUUGCCCUUCUAUUGUUUUCUCUUUUGGAUUCAUCAGGAUGCAGGAUCCAUCAAUUUGUGUAUCUUUUUUAGCUUUUUUUAAUACAUGUUGAGGGGAGGUGCUAUUGAGGUUUUAACAUGAAACCAGUGAUCUGAAGACAAAUGCUCUUACCAUUGAGCUAUGUACUCAUGUGCGUGUAUCUUUUUGCUUUUAAUUUUGAUGAAUUAUGAAGCACUUUGAGUUUUUU
rnacentral:lncRNA from 1 species